rnacentral:lncRNA from 1 species
CUCUCCCUCCUCUAUUUUUAUUUCCUUUCUCUCACCAAUUCAAAAUCUGAUAAUGGCUCCUCUUUAUUUUUCUCUCGGUACAACAAACAAGAUUUAGGGUUUUCUUUUCUCAAACCCAUCCUCCCCCCUCCAUCUUUUCAUCGCUACCAGGGUUCUGUUUUGUUCAAUAGGUAUUGUCAAAAACCCCCAAAUUUCUAUUCCUUUGUUUUUAAUAUUUCAAGUUCAAAAUGUAUUGUAAAAACCCCCAAAUGUUUAGUCUUUUGUUCUGAAAAAGCUCGUUUUGAUUUUAGUUAGGUUUUGAUUUUUCUCUGUUUUGUAGGAUAUUUCCAACGUUUGAACAAUUGUUGAAGUUAUUAAGUGACAUUGAAGAGAAAAUUGAAGAAGAUUCAGGUAAGUAAAUUGUUAGUUGAGAUUGGGUAUUUUGUUUUAUGGUGUUUUUGUUUUUAUGAUUUGGAUUUUUGCGUCUUCUGUUGGUUUUGUAAGGGUUAAAUGCAUGUAUUUUUAUUUCUUUGUAAAGUUAAAUUAAAACUAGUAUUUUAGAAAUCCUUUAAAGGUUAGCUGUCAAAGUUUUAUUGUUGAUGUGGUUUUUCAAAGAGGUAUGUUUUUGCUUUCUCUUUGAGUGGUUUGUUUUGUCUCUGCAGCUGCUUCUUUUGGUGCUCUGAUGGUAUAACUGUGAAUGAUUUUUUGGUUUUGCAGUGUCUUUGGUUUGAGGCUCAUUGUAUCUGUUUUUUUAGCAGAUAUUUUGAGUUUGUAACGACCCAAUUUUCAUAUUAUUAUUUUUAUGUGUUAAAAUAUUUUAUUUAACGUGGCAUUU